rnacentral:rRNA from 1 species
CCUACGGGCGGCAGCAGUGGGGAAUAUUGCACAAUGGGGGAAACCCUGAUGCAGCGACGCCGCGUGAGCGAUGAAGUAUUUCGGUAUGUAAAGCUCUAUCAGCAGGGAAGAAAAUGCCGGUACCUGACUAAUAAGCCCCGGCGAACUACGUGCCAGCAGCCGCGGUCAUACGUAGGGGGCAAGCGUUAUCCGGCUUUACUGGGGGUAAAGGGAGCGUAGACGGCUGUGCAAGCCAGAUGUGAAAGCCCGGGGCGCAACCCCGGGACUUCAUUUGGAACUGGGUGGCUGGAGUGUCGGAGAGGCAGGCGGAAUUCCUAGGGUAGCGGUGAAAUGCGUAGAUAUUAGGAGGAACACCAGUGGCGAAGGCGGCCUGCUGGACGAUGACUGACGUUGAGGCUCGAAAGCGUGGGGAGCAAACAGGAUGAGAUACCCUUGUAGUC